ensembl:lncRNA
GUUCUGUCCAGCCAGAGCAUAAAUUAUGAGAUGGUGAAUGAUCAGAGAUGAGACUGGAGAGGAAAGCAGGGACCUUGAAAACCUGACAAAGAGUUUGAACUUGAAUUUGACUUCCAAGGCAAUAAGGAGCCCCAGAGGACACAGACACCCAGAUGAAGAGAAAUCCAGAUCCGCGAAGCACCUGGGCCCAUGGUUCCUAUCUGGCAGAGUCUCAUUUUGGACCCUAAGUAUCACAAGACCUCUCCAGUCCAUGCCUCCUGGCAACUCUGCUUAGCAUACUGGCCCAUCCUGCUUUUGACCUCAGCCCUCCCCCAUCCCCCCACAGUGAGCUCAGACUACCUCUUAGACUGUCCACUGCAAGGACCUGUUUCUUGUGUGGGGACUCAUCUUUGUGGGGACUCACUUCCUGUUUGCAGCUGGAUGCCUGCUCAGCAUCCAGGAGUCAGGCGCUCCUCUACAGUUUCCAAGCUGCUCGGUCACAUCUUUCUCUGAUACAGCUUCUUCUAUGGCACAAGUGUGCACUAAAACUGAAAUCCAGGGCUUUCCUGGUGGUUCAGUGGUAAAGAAUCCACCUGCCAAAGCAGGAGACAUGGGUUCAAUCCCAAGGCCAGGAGGAUCCCACAUGCCACAGAGCAACCAACCCCAUACACCACAGCUACUGAGCCUGUGCUCUAGAGCCCAUGCUCCGCAACAAGAGAAGCCACCGACAUGAGAAGCCUGAGCACACAACUAGAGAAAAGCCUACUUGUACCAACGAAGACGAAGCACAGCCAAAUAAGUAAAAAAAAAUUUUUUUUUAAAGAAAUUAAAAAAAACUUAAAAUUCAAGUCAUGCUGACCAGAGUGGGCGGGCCAUCCACCAUGAAUAUUUGCCAUAGCAUCUUCAGCAUAUUAGUGAGAACUGAACACUGAACUAAGGCCUUAACAUCUGUUAUCUCUGUGCGUGUUUAAUACAACCCUGAGAGAUUCUCAUAUUAUUCCUAUUUUAUGGAUGAGGAAAUAGGCAAAGAUGUUAAGUAACUUUCUCAAGGUCACCAGGCUAGAAACUGGGACUGGAGCCCUGUUGCAUCUAAUGUUAAGUGCCUGCUCUUAACCACCACUCGAUACUGCCUCUCGUGGUCUUCAUCAGCAUUCCAAGGCCUCAGUUAAGUCCUCUGCCUGGGAUCAGCCUCAGAGUCUGGAUUAUUCCCAGAGCAAAUAUCAGGCCAGGACUAAAUCUUGGGCCCAGAAAAACUCGGCGGGGAACAAAUGGAACCCUGGAAGGGAUUUUGCUGCAGUCGAAGGAGUUGGAGAUUAGGAUUCAAAAGGACUGAGGUUGUCUUGCUCGGCCCCUUGUUGUCUGAGUGGACCCGGUCAAAUCUUGAAUCUCUCUGAGCAUCAGUUUCUUCAUCGGUGACAUAAGGGUAGCAGCAGAAGCUACCUCUCCGAGAUGGACUGAGGAACAAGUGAGGAAAUGCGUCAACAUAAGGCAGGAUCCUAUGGACUACAGAGGACUGUCUGAUGGAAUGACUGUUAGUGCCAGCCACUACUCAGUAUUUGUUAUGGGACAAACAAACUGCUUUGGCAAAUGUCACAAAGGUUUGCCUUCCAUUCCACUCCUGAAAAGUGAAAAUUAGGGAGCUCCCUAAUAGGGACUCCCAUAACCACUGGCAGUCCAGUGGUUAAGACUCUGUGCUUCCAAUGC